rnacentral:rRNA from 1 species
ACGUAGGUGGCAAGCGUUGUCCGGAUUUACUGGGCGUAAAGGGAGCGUAGGCGGACUUUUAAGUGAGAUGUGAAAUACCCGGGCUCAACUUGGGUGCUGCAUUUCAAACUGGAAGUCUAGAGUGCAGGAGAGGAGAAUGGAAUUCCUAGUGUAGCGGUGAAAUGCGUAGAGAUUAGGAAGAACACCAGUGGCGAAGGCGAUUCUCUAGACUGUAACUGACGCUGAGGCUCGAAAGCGUGGGGAGCAAACAG